GAUGAACGCUGGCGGCGUGCCUAAUACAUGCAAGUCGAGCGAACGGACGAGAAGCUUGCUUCUCUGAUGUUAGCGGCGGACGGGUGAGUAACACGUGGAUAACCUACCUAUAAGACUGGGAUAACUUCGGGAAACCGGAUCUAAUACCGGAUAAUAUUUUGAACCGCAUGGUUCAAAAGUGAAAGACGGUCUUGCUGUCACUUAUAGAUGGAUCCGCGCUGCAUUAGCUAGUUGGUAAGGUAACGGCUUACCAAGGCAACGAUGCAUAGCCGACCUGAGAGGGUGAUCGGCCACGCUGGAACUGAGACACGGUCCAGACUCCUACGGGAGGCAGCAGUAGGGAAUCUUCCGCAAUGGGCGAAAGCCUGACGGAGCAACGCCGCGUGAGUGAUGAAGGUCUUCGGAUCGUAAAACUCUGUUAUUAGGGAAGAACAUAUGUGUAAGUAACUGUGCACAUCUUGACGGUACCUAAUCAGAAAGCCACGGCUAACUACGUG
rnacentral:rRNA from 1 species